CGCUGGACGAAGAGCAAACUCCGCACUCCACUUGGGAGCGAAGCCACUGGAAGGCGGAGAGCCAGAACGGAACACAGCGCCUGCGCCUAACCUGCACGAGGGCGCGCGCUCUCUCUCUCGCUCUCUCGGAGACAUGAUGCCGCCCCAAAUGCUACACCCCCAAACCCACAGCUUCAGCGAGCAGCUCCGACGUUGCCAAAAAUAUUUCGUUUUUCGCUGAAUUUCACUUGGUUUACAGGCCAGGGCACCCAGGUCGUAUCUAGUCGGAGCCCCAAGGAUAGGCUUGGGAAUGGGUACUUGGUGCAGUAUUUAUGCCCAAUUCGGGCAACAGUAUAUGUUGACUUAAGCAGCCUGAUUUAUGCAUUAUAUUAGCGUUGAUUUUUAGCUGCAAUAAAUCUGGAAAUACUGCCAUAAACCCAUCCGCCCUCAUCCGUAAUCAUAAUUCACUCGAGGCAGGACCAGUAAUAGCUCUGGAAUAAAUGUUCCCUUUCAUUGAUGCAUCGACUAAUUUGUGCCUGGAUCGUAACCGUAAGUUUUAUGCGUCUACCAAACAUAUUCCUGGCUGUCCUGAAAGGUUAAAGAAGUUUAGUGCCAUAUGUUCGACUCGUUUCAGGGCAUGACUGAAGCUUUUGCAGCUGUCACUCCAACAGCCGGACACACACCUGAGACCUGAGACCUGAGACCUGUCCAACUAAUUGGCAAUUUCAUAAUCGCCAAAAUCACAAUUUGUGCUACGAACAAAGCACAGAGAAGAUUGCCUUGUCCUGCUAGAGAAUGGGUGGGGAACGGUUGCACAACUAUUAAUGACCACACGCACGCGGACAGACAGCAGCGGACACGUUGACUGAGACUGUCCGUAGGGAAAAUCCCGGAACGUGUUCGGCCUGGCCAAGAAAGUGUCCUCUGACAGAGCUUGAAUUAUUGUCUCUGAUCUGCUAGCUGCCCUUACUGCGGGUAACUCAUAAUUUGCAAGGUGUUCAUGUGGCCAUAAAAACAAUAAAAUAU
rnacentral:lncRNA from 1 species